GGAAGCUUUUAGUAGUCCAUCUGAUGGAUACUUUUUUACACACAAAUGGCUAGAGUGCUUAAUCGAAUGUGUCCAUUCCAUAGUUAGUUAAUUCGGAUUCGCAUAUUGAUAUAGUUGAUGAUAAAAUCAUCAUUUUCUAGUUUAUUUGUAUAGAUUCGCACAUUGAUUUUAAAUUUUUAUUUUGGGAAAUAACUUAAUCUCGAGUCCUUAAUUGAAUGUGUCCAUUCUUUGUUAUGCACAAAGAAGAUCCAAACAUAGAGCUAAAUAAUCUUAAUUAACUUAGGGACCAGGAACUCUUGUAUUAUACCUAAUCAAUUUCAUGAUCUUGUUGACAAUUGCAAAAGGAAAAUUUUGUUGUGGUCAUUCAUGGACCAUUGACUCAGUAGGGUUUCUACUUAAUUUUUGAAAC
rnacentral:lncRNA from 1 species